AACUAACAAGGAUUCCCCUAGUAACUGCGAGUGAAGCGGGAUGAGCUCAAAUUUAAAAUCUGGCGUCUUCGGCGUCCGAGUUGUAAUUUAGAGAAGCGUUUUCCGCGCCGGACCGUGUACAAGUCUCCUGGAACGGAGCGUCAUAGAGGGUGAGAAUCCCGUCUUUGACACGGACCCCCGGUGCUCUGUGAUACGCUCUCGAAGAGUCGAGUUGUUUGGGAAUGCAGCUCAAAAUGGGUGGUGAACUCCAUCUAAAGCUAAAUAUUGGCGAGAUACCGAUAGCGAACAAUUACCGUGAGGGAAAGAUGAAAA
rnacentral:rRNA from 1 species